rnacentral:rRNA from 1 species
GAUGAACGCUGGCGGCGUGCCUAAUACAUGCAAGUCGAGCGAACGGACGAGGAGCUUGCUUUUCUGAUGUUAGCGGCGCACGGGCGAGUAACACGUGGAUAACCCACCUAUAAGACUGGUAUAACUUCGGGAAACCGGCCCUAAUACCGGAUAAUAUUUUGAUCCGCAUGGUUCCAAAGUGCAAGACGGUCUUGCUGUCUCUUAUAGAUGGAUCCGCGCUGCAUUAGCUAGUUGGUAAGGUAACGGCUUAUCAAGGCAACGAUGCAUAGCCGACCUGAGAGGCUGAUCCGCCACAGUGGAAGUUCGUCGCGCACCAGACUCCUAAGGGAUGCAGCGGUAGGGAAACUGGCGCAAUAGUCGAGAGCGUGACGGAGCAACAUGGCGUGGGAGAUGAAGGUCUGCCGGGCGUAAAACGCUGUUAAUGGGGAAGAACAGCUGUCUAAGGAACCGCGCCCAACUUGACGGUACCUGAUCAGUAAGCAACGGCUAACUACGUG